rnacentral:lncRNA from 1 species
CUGGGAUGGUAUGAACUGAACUCUGGACCGCAACAUGAUGGAAAGGAGGAGCUGGGGUCCCAAGGGCAGUCCAGACAACCUGAACCUGUGACACUCACCCUGCCCACACACUCUCAGAGCUGCAGCUUUCACGGGGGUGACAUGAAUGCUUGUAAAUGAGCUUGCUGAAUGGGAGACCAAGAACGAUGAUAUUGAGCUGUUACUACAUGCCAGACAUUUAACCCUUUCAUCCAGGUUAUCUCAAUCAUUCCUUACAGAAAGGCUUUUGAGAUGUCCUUGCAACUGGAGGUGCCAUAUGAUACAGUUCUGCCCAAAGACAAGAAAGUGAAUGUCUGUUGAGGGCUUCCUAUAAGGCCAAUACAUACAGGUGUUCCCAACAACAGACGGAGUCUGGCUCCGUGCCCAGGCUGGAGUGCAGUGACGCGAUCUCGGCUCACCACAACCUCCGCCUCCCUGGUUCAAGCGAUUCUCCUGCCUCAGCCUCCCAAGGAGUUGGGACUACAGGUGUGUGCCACCACGCCCAGCUAAUUUUUGUAUUUUUAGUAGAGACAGGGUUUCACCAUUUUGGCCAGCAUGGUCUCAAUCACUUGACCUUGUGAUCUGCCUGCCUUGGCCUCCCAAAGUGCAUAUUUAAUAA